rnacentral:lncRNA from 1 species
UCGUAGACGUAGUAAGCAUGAUGAAUGCUUAGAAAUUGAGUUCAUAUGUUCAUGAAACAUAUACCAUGAUUAGAUCUAUCCUACCAUUAAUCUUUAAUCAAGAACCAUAGAAUUUAUUUCUUGGAUGCGAUAUCAUCAAGGGGGAUUCCUACCAUCUUUAUUUCAUUGAACUUUGUUUAUUGAUAUAUUAUUCUCUACUUUUAAUUUCUGAAAAUCAACUAAAAAUUACAUCUAAAAAUUA